GUUAGGAAAGCCGCCGGUAUUUCUGCUUUUGCAUUAAUUAUGGGCUCAUUAGCAUACCAAUCGGAGAAAUCAGAGAUCAUGUAAUUAAGGUUUAACCAAAAGCACCUGCUGCCUGUGAUUCGGGUGCGUGUGUGUCUGCGCUUCAGCCCCUAAUUUAAUUUCUGGCCUUUGACAAGACGCUGCCCUCAUCAAUCUUGCGCUGUCUCAGUUCGUUUUUUGUUUGUUUGUUUGUUUUUGUUUAUCAAGUCGGGUUUGGCCGACGUUGCCCCCACCCCCAAGCCGUCGUCAUGGUGACAGAAUUGAUUGGCAAAGGGACGCCUGAUUAGAAAGGAAGAAUGGGAGGCGGGCGUCGCAUCCAGUUGAGCAGAUCGGGCCCAAGCGAGGCCUCGCUGGGUGUCGUCGUCAGGGCAGGGCAAGCCGCUGUCUGUUUUGGCUCUGGUUACACCUUGUUAAAAAAAAAAAAAAAAAAAGACAGUCAGUAAUUACUCCAACGGUCCGUGGAGAGUAUCGGAGUACUCUGAACCCCAAGACUUCAGGUCGAUCGCCGUGAGUGACCUGCGACCAGUUCAGGGGUCACUGGGCCUCUCGCGCAAAGUCUGCUGGGAUAGGGUCCCUGUUGACACGUGACCCAAAUGAGGAUGCUGCGGUUUGGAUGGCAAUUGCGCUCGCAGGUUGUACCUCUGUCCCGCCGCUAGAGGGGAGUAGCGACUUGGCCGUGGCGCUCUCCUCCGUCUUCAUAAACAAUUUUCAUCUCCGGUUCAUCUGUAGAAAUGAAGCGCUCCAGAAAGCGGAAAGCACUCAAGCAAAUUUGACGGGUUUCUGUUUUUCAUCGACGGGUGGAAGGCAAACUCAAAUCUCCGUUUUUCGAGAGACUUGCAGAGGAUUUGAAGUUGAGGCGACACGUGCAACUUCAUUUGCCUCAAGUCGGCCGGACCAGUCAAAUCAUCAUCAUAACUAAUAUGAGCAUUAAUAAAUUGGUGGUUUCACCAUGUUUGAAUACAA